AAAAAAUUUCCCCCAAAAAGUUCUCUCUAGUUUUCCAGAUCUGAAUUUAAAAUUCAAUAUUCAAAAACCAAAAACAACAGAAAAUCUAAUAGAAAAACCAAAAAAAAAUAGUUACUAUUCCAUUGGAAUUUUCAGUUCAAUUUCCAGUUUCCUAGUUCAAACAAAGUCUGAUAAGUUAUGGUUUCAGAGAAAUUUGAGAUGGUUUCGCAUGAGAUUAGGUCCAAUUAAGCUAAGUUUGAUUGAGCUUGGGUCUGGUUGAAAGUGUUGAGUUCAUUCUGAGUAAUUUCCAAGGUUAUUUGGUCUGUUUUGAAGUUGAUUCAAGUCGAUCCAUCACUUCGUUUGAUUUUCAAACUUCUUUCUAGGCUGUGUAUUUGUUGUUGUUUGGUUAUCUCAAAGUGUUGUUGCCUGUUAUCCACUACUGCUGAUCUUUUCUUCUUCUUUGUAUCUUCAUAUCCAGGUACACGACUCGAGAUCUCAUGGCUGUAGCUUCACAUGAUUAGAACAUGAAAUAAAUUGAGAUUGGUUCUAUUGUUGUAAAUUCACUACUCCAGUUAGCUUUGUUAUAUUUGAAAUGUUCUUCGUUGUGUUUUUUUGUAGUAAUUCGUUGACUGUAAUUGGAUUUAGACAUCAGCUUAAUUGUGAGGAUAAAAUUAGUUCGUGUAAUCAUUUGAACUAGAUUCGAACAGAGUUUGUUGUAUCUCUUGGACUGCAAUGGGACUGUAUGAACAAAAGGGACUU
rnacentral:lncRNA from 1 species